UUGGACCUGAUAUCAGGCAAGACUA
rnacentral:rRNA from 2 species